UGGAGGCGGCCCGGGUGGGGGGGAGGUCAGAGGGGCGCACGGCCUGCUUCGCUUCUUUGUGCGUUCUGCGCCUCAGCAGGGACACCUCUCUCCCUACCCUUUGGCCAAUGCAGCUUUCUCGGGAAAAGCGGGGGGCUGUUCCCUACCCCCAGCCCAGGAAGCGACCCCACAGUGCCCACAGUUGACGCGGGACUAUGGGCAAACUUCUGUCUCUCAGCUCAGCUUCUCUAGAGUGUGUCCCACCGGGGCCAGAGCUCUCACUCUUUGCACUGUAUUUCACUGUGGGCCCAAGAAACGUCAUUAUCAGAAAACUCAUCAUCCUAUGAGCUUUGGUACUCACACCUCAUCAAUAUCCUCUACCCCUCUGAUUGGAAGACUGGAGAGUGCAGCAAAGAAGUCCUUUCGGAGUUCUCAGACCAGCCAUCUCUUCAUUUUCCACAAGCUUGUACUUCUUUGGACUGGACUCCAUCAUGCCCUCCUGGGCAUCUUCUUCCUGUCACUCCCAUCCCCUUUCUUUAUUUUAUCCUGCCUUUCUUUCUUCAUAUUUGUAUCUCCAGUGCUUAGCGUAGUGCCUGACACAUAGUGCUUAAAAAUGUUUGUUGACUGACUGACUUGUAAAAUGUGACAAUUGGACUAGGCAGCAUUUGUGGUCCCUUCUAGCUCUAGAUGAGAUGAACUAAUGCUAAUACGUUCAUGAAGUACUUACUCUGUCCAAGGCAACAGGCUAGGCCUUGUCUUACUUUUCUAUAGUAGGAAGUGUCAACUGAAUUGCAUUGUGUUCCCCAAAUUCAGCACACAUAACUGACUUAGCAUGACUCAAACAAGUUGUGUCAAUAAACAGAUAUUUAUUGAAUGUCUACUAUGUACAGGGCACUGCUGAGCAUUGUGGGAGGUACAAGAUCAUAAACAGAUUUUUUAUCCACAUCUCUUAAGUUUUUAUUUUCUUGUCUAAAACUAUCUCAUAAAUUCUUAGCAUUAUAAUUUUUCAUUUUAUGCCUUCCCCCAUAAAUGAUGCUAGUAAUUUUCUGUGUGCAAAUUGCAUAAAUUGCUUUGAAGUUCUGGGAUUUAAGGCUCUUCAUUCUGGAAGGGCAAGGUCAGCAUAAUAAAUCACCACAAUUAUCAUCUUUAUUAUUAUUGCCUUUGAGAAGAGGGCAUUUAACUAAGAGUAAUCUGAAUUUUGGUAGCGUCUACAACAGGUCAGGCCACCUGGCAGGAUUUCACGAAUGUAGUACAGCCUCGCACACAGGUACAAAGGGCUGGUCCAUCUGGUUUAUUUCCCAUGAAAAUGUAUACCAAGGAGCAAAAAGCAAUUUUAUAAAACCAGCUUUGGUUACAAAUAAAUAUGGAAAGAAAAUGCUAUAGAAAGCACACCAUAUAUGUUUUUUAUUCUGCUCUGGACAGUUUUCCCCAUUUUAAUUCUUGGUUACUAUGACUCAGCUAGUAGCCAAAUGGAUAUUUAAAAACCUAAUUCAGUGGACUUUAAGCUAUAUUGGCCAGAGGCAAUUAUGACCCAGAAACCUUAAACUUACACAGUCGAUGUCCACCUCUCCUGUCAAGAGGUCCCCAUUUCUCACUGAGCAAAAAUGAGUGAGUAUAUGAAAAACCCUUGCAUAAGGGAUUUAACUCCCUUUUUGCCAGGCUUCCUUGUGGUGAUUUUUAUGUAGCUGGAGCAGAAAAGUGUUGGCAUGGUGUAGAUAUGCUAUAACAUUAUCUGUUUUUAAAACUUUUGGCAUGAAAUGUAAAAUAGAAAUGUAAUUAUAUACAAAAUAGACUACAGGUAAAAUUGAGUUGCUGUUUUAUUAAAAAUUUAAUCUAUUUGCAUGACUAUUAUGCUUUGUAAUACUUUUAAGUAAAAUUUUAGAUAUUACACAAUUAUUUUAGUUAUGAACUUACUAGUAAAAAAUAUCAUUAUUACAAAAGGUUUCCCAAUGCUAGGAUAGGCUAAGGAUAUCUGCCCUUGCAAUGAAUCAGGUACCUCUGUUUGAGAACCAUAUUAAGCAAUGACGUGAAAUUAGGAUUUAACUUGUCCUAAUGAAACUGCUAACCUUAUUUUACACCCCAGAGUGUUUAUCUAAUUCUUAGCUUUGUCUUUCGUUCAUCACACUUUUAACUCUCCUUAUUUAAUGUUUUUCUGUUUCCUGUGAACUCUUAAAGGCAACAAACUGUUGAAAAUAACUCAACUUCAUAUGUUUAAUAAUUAAGAUUGAUCUAAGCCCCAACUCAGAUAUUCACUAAGUACCCAGUAUAUUCAAGACACUAGGGACAAGGAUGAAAAUGACAACAGUCUUUGUCCUCAAGGAGCUUACAGUAUUCAGAACAUAUUAUAAUAAAAUAAUUAUCAUUUUAAUGCCAUCACUAAAAUUACAUUAAAAUGAAGACAAAUGUCAUUGGGGAAUGUAGGAGGUGUUAGGAGAGAAUCCAACUCAUUGCCAUGUCAUGCGGUAUGUGCACCAACACUCACAGUUUAAAACUAAUCUUUUCUUUGUUUAUGGACUAUCACAUUCCUGUUUUGGGUAUGGAGAAACCUGCUACCAUGAAUCAAGAGUAAGCACUUCUCUGGAUAUUUCUAACAAGAUAAGUUCUUGAGAGGUGCUGACAUGUGGUUACUAUCUAUAUCACCAAUAUUUUGGAGGUCCUUUCUGUUUCACUGCAAAUUAUCCAUGACCAAAAGUCCAUAUUUUAAAUAAAGACAAUUAAAAGAUAGUAGCUAAAUACAUGUCGUUUACAUUUCACAAAGCUGAGGAUUUGAAAUAGGAGGAACAGCAACGGUACAGAGUAAUCAGGGCAUUUUGUCAAUCACAGAUAAAAAGGAUGUGUCUUUUUUUUAACAUUAAAAACAACAACAACAACAAAAACAACCCAG